UACGUAGGGGGCAAGCGUUGUCCGGAAUCAUUGGGCGUAAAGAGCGCGUAGGCGGUCCGGUAAGUCCGCUCUGAAAGUCCGGGGCUCAACCCCGGGAGGCGGGCGGAUACUGCCGGGCUAGAGUCCGGAAGAGGCGAGUGGAAUUCCUGGUGUAGCGGUGAAAUGCGCAGAUAUCAGGAGGAACACCAAUGGCGAAGGCAGCUCGCUGGGACGGUACUGACGCUGAGGCGCGAAAGCUAGGGUAGCGAACGGG
rnacentral:rRNA from 1 species